rfam:Phlebotomus papatasi Contig116.9, whole genome shotgun sequence.
GUUGGUUAUGGUGAUAUGGCACCCAAGACAUAUGUUGGAAUGUUUGUGGGUGCUCUAUGUGCUCUGGCCGGUGUCUUGACCAUUGCUCUUCCCGUUCCUGUUAUCGUCAGCAAU